rnacentral:misc_RNA from 1 species
AAAAAAAGAUAUUUUAGUUAAAUGCAAAUGCACAAUUUGUGUAUAAAAAUUGAUCAGAACAUAUUCUCUGUCAUAUGAGUCUAUCCACACAUCACAAGUUGUUCCCAACAAAUGUGUUGAUAGUACUAAUUUGCAACAAAAUCUCAACAAGUGGAUUUUCCUGAUACUAUAAGCAAUAUCUAAAUACUGCCACCCCUCAGGGCAAGCACAAGAUGCAGCACAGAGCCACCCUCGAUAUUGUAGUCACGAGCUGUUUUGUCAUCUCCAAGCUGUUUACCAGCAUAAAUAAGCCUUUGCUGCACUGGAGGAAUUCCUUCCUUCUCCUCAACUCGUUCCUUGAUUCGAUCAAUGGUAUCAGUUGGUUCGAUAUCAAUUUCAAUCUCUUUCCCAGUAAGGGUCUUCACUUUGAUCAUAGUUCCACCCCUAAGCCUUAAAACCAGGUGAAGAGUUGACUCCUUCUGGAUGUUGUAAUCAGCCAGGGUUCUACCAUCUUCCAAUUGUUUACCAGCAAAAAUCAACCUCUGCUGAUCAGGAGGAAUGCCUUCCUUGUCCUGAAUCUUGGCUUUGACGUUUUCGAUGGUGUCGCUGCUCUCGACCUCGAGAGUGAUGGUCUUACCGGUGAGGGUCUUGACGAAGAUCUGCAUUCUUAGCUUUGGCAGCUUGUGGCUGCGUUUUGGGCAGAGAGAGAGAGAGAGGGGUUGAAUUUAAGAANNNNNNNNNNNNGGACAACUUGGUAUGGGGCUGUGGGCUUAUUUAUUGAGGGAAGUUUUCCUUGUCCAUGCUGGACAGGUAAAGAAUCGCCCAAUCGAGAAUCCGAUCGCCUUAUUG